AAGAGACAGACCUGAAACCCUGCACUUACAAGCUGUGGAAGCACAUUUCUUGUGUGACCGCGUACUUUUUGUAGAACGGGCCAACGAGUUACGUUAAGGAGCAAGGUUAAGCACUUAAGGUGUGGAGCCGUAGCGAAAGCGAGUUUUAACUGAGCGUUCAGUUACUUGACGUAGACCCGAAACCGGGCGACCUACCCAUGAGCAGGAUGAAGCGAAAGUAAAAUUUCGUGGAGGUCCGAACCCACGAGCGUUGAAAAGCUCGGGGAUGACUUGUGGGUAGCGGUGAAAUUCCAAUCGGGCCCGGAGAUAGCUGGUUCUCCCCGAAAUAGCUUUAGGGCUAGCCUCAAGGUGAGAGAUACGGAGGUAGAGCACUG
rnacentral:rRNA from 1 species